CAGAAAUAGAAAAAAUGCUUGAGCUUCGUUCAAAAAAAACUGUUAAAAAAAAAAACACAGAUUCACCAACUGAUCACGCCAGGAAGCGCAACAAUUGCGGAUCGAGGAGAGGUUCUGCCCCAUUAUCACAAAAGAAAGAGCUUUCUUCAAUGGGAGUUAUUUCAUUCUCUGCAACCGUAAUUCCUCCCAUUCCACUGUCAAAUUCUUCUCCAUUUCCUUUCAAAUCAACUCUCUUCUCUUCCUUUCUGCUCUGUUAAAACCUUAAUGCUCAACGCCCUUAAAUCCUCACUUCCAUCUACUAGUGUUUAUGCUGCUUAAGAAGUGUUGAAAUCCCUAGAAAUCCUCGUUGGGUUUGAAUCCACAACCUUUAAGUUUAUCAAUCAGCAGAUGCAAAUUAACACUAAUUGUCGAUGGUUUAGUUGAAGGUUCUGAGACUCCGAAUACUUCGUCGCUCAUCUGCGGUGCAGAUUUAGACAAGUGACUACUCUGUUGAGCUAUCUGAUUCUGCAAUGAUCUUCCGAAGGUAUCACCUUUUAUUAUCAUCCAAGGAUGCCAGGCCUCAACAUUUUUAGCUUGUUGCAAAGAAAGCUUCUGGGCUGUUUGCAGUGGACAUUCAUCCCGGGGCACAGGCCAUGGAGCAGAGGCUUGUACUCGGGAACUUUCUGUCUGUGGGGUUUGUGGAGACCGGUUUAUUAUCGUGAGGCCUGACCUGAUACCGACCUGGCCCACAAGGAUUCGUUAUGAUUUUUUUAGUGGAUUUUUAAUGAGGCUUGUGCCAUGGAGCUCAGAAUUGGGCUAAUAGACAGAAAGUUUGCAGUGGACAUUCAUCCCGGGGUGAAGAGUCGACGUGGGAUUCUACUUGAUCAUGCGACGGGGGUUGCGAUCAGAGAGGCGGUGGUGAUAGGCAAUAAUGUGUCAAUUUUCCAUAACGUGACUUUGGGAGGGACUGGCAAGGAUAAUGGGGACAGGCACCCAACGAUUGGAGAUGUGGUGUUGAUAGGAGCAGGGACCAAUGUGUUAGGGAAUGUGAAAACUGGGGAGGGUGCCAAGAUUGGCGCUGGUUCGGUGGUGUUGAAGGAAGUGACAUCAAGAACUACUGCAGUUGCCCUGCUACAUUGGUUCGAGGCAAGGCCAAUGAUCAUAUUCCUAGUUACCAUACUUCACACGAGUGGUCUGAUUAUGUCUAAAAGGGUACCGUAGUAUGUAUGUAAGAGAGGGUUAAUAGAGAGAGAGCACAAUCCUCUUUUAGACUUCAGUACUCCACGUACGUGCUAUCAUUACUAAUUCAAUUUGUUUUGAAGCAAUCUUACUGCUGUUGCAAAUUCGAGGCAAUUCAAUGAAGCAUUGCACAACCAAUUGGUCAGCUGUGCAAAUCCUUUUUCACUAUAGUGUUUUGGGAUUAGGUUCUCUCAAAUCUUUAGGUACCCUCUAUUCCCAGACUGCUUCUAUCUGCAUUCCAGUAGCUAACUUCCUCUAGCACCUUCAAUGGAAUUUAAGCUCAUCACUCGCCGUAAGAGAUUUAAGGGAGAGAUCAUAUAUCAAUGGAGUGUGAUAUAAUGGCAGCGAUAUUUGCUGGGAUAAUGUAAUAUAGUCGUUCUUUGAAAGGGUUUAUCCAAGGAUGCCUGCUCAAUGAGGUAUCAUUCUUAGACAUGUUUUAGGGAAUUCCUACGCCAAUUAAUGCUGGUGUCAUUGUUAGCUGCAAUUACAUUGAAAGCUGUGGAUUGAAAUCUUAUAGCAAGUAUUCGGUUUCCAAAUCAUUUUACAUGCAGGAUUAAUAAAGGAAGCAACGUGAACAAGCAGCAACAAUCCCAAAGAUUAGUUAUGAUCCAACAAAUUGAAAUUCUGAAAUGCCCUAUGUGGGUUACUAUUGUUGUCAUGAUAUAUCUGCAAAUUGCAAUCUCCUUUUCGAG